rnacentral:rRNA from 1 species
UACGACUACAUAUCAGGCAUAUCAAUAAGCGGAGGAAAAGAAACUAACUAGGAUUCCCUCAGUAACGGCGAGUGAAGCGGGAAGAGCUCAAAUUUGAAAUCUUCAAGGUUUUACCUUGACGAAUUGUAGUUUAAAGAAGUGUUUUCUGUUGGAGUUUUGGUAAAAGUUCUUUGGAAUAGGACAUCAUAGAGGGUGAGAAUCCCGUAUUUGACCAUUAUUUCCAGCUUUGUGAUACACUUUCAAAGAGUCGGAUUGUUUGGGAAUGCAGUCCAAAAUGGGUGGUAAAUUUCAUCUAAAGCUAAAUAUUGGCGAGAGACCGAUAGCGAACAAGUACCGUGAGGGAAAGAUGAAAAGAACUUUGAAAAGAGAGUUAAACAGUACGUGAAAUUGUCAAAAGGGAAGCGUUUGACACCAGUGUUGUUUCUACGAAAAUCAAUUUAUGAUGGCUUGAUGCUAAGCUUUAAGACUUUAUCCGCUUGUUGUUUAGUUUUCUUGUCUUUGUGAAUGCACUUUUCGUGAACAAGUCAACAUCAAUUUCUUUUGCUGUAAAAGGGUAAGAGGAAGGUGGCUUCGGCUUCGGUUGAAGUGUUUAUAGCCUUUUAUCUCUGCAGUCGGAGAGAUUGAGGUCUGCAGCGUAGACUCUUCGGGGUUAGAUACGUCGGUGCUAAGCUAUAGCUUUUCAUAGACAACUUGUUGACUAUGUCUAGUCAUGUGGCUUACCCGCUGGCGCUAUUUUACCUACGCUUAGGAUGUUGACUGAUAUGUAGUCGUA